GGAAUUUGUAACAGAGAGAAGAGCUCAUUGUCAGUGACAGGCACAGUGUAUGACGCACAGAGGAGGCUCAGCCAAGACAAAGAGAAGGGAAGCUGACACAGAAGUCAAGAUGGGUAGUUGGCAAAGUCUUCGUCCAUUCCGAGAACUGUCCUUGACACUGCUGAUCAUGCUCCUUGGUGGUCUGAAGAUUUUAAACUCCAUGAAUUCUGCUGGCCAGUUCUUCUUAUUUUUCUGACCUUUCCAUACUGUGAAUAAAUUCUUGUUUAUGCCUA